ACACCUCAACUCUCAUGGCUUGCCAUGAUGAGCUUGGACUUUGGGGGUCUUGCUGGCCUGUGUGGUUGGCUCCCCUCAAAUGAAUCAGCUUGCCGGUGUUUGGUGGCGUCACAAGUGUGAUAACUAUCUACGCUUGUGGUUUCCCACCAGGUAACCUUCAGUGAUGGAGGUUCGCUGGGGCUCAUAAAUGUCUUUUCCUCAGUAAAGACAGCUCUCUGAAC
rnacentral:misc_RNA from 1 species